AAUCAUGUGUUUUACCACAUAUCUUAAAAUCUGGAUUUCCAGAUGUCAGCAUUGUAAAACGACAUCUUUGUAAAACGAAAUCUUUGUAAAACGAAAAACACAGCCAUAAGCAAUUGUAAGAUCGGUAAGAGUUUAAGUUAAUUGUGUCCACUACUUGUUUCCAAAUAUUUCCAAGUUCAAAAGCAAAAAAUCAUGGACAAAAUCAGAAAUUGAGCUAUGAUAUUGGCGUAGCUAAGGGCCAAGCCCAGGAAAAAGGUAGUCAAUUGGUGGAGAAGGCUGGGACUGCUGUGCAGUCUGCCAAGGAAACAGCGCAAGAGGUGGGGCAGCAAGUGAAGGCCAAAACACUAGAAGCAGCAGAUGCCGUUAAAAAUGCCACUGGCAUGAACAAAUAAACCACGUUAAUUUCUACCAUAUUAUAGUUUAUGAAGAUCUUAAUUUGUUCUACUUCAAUUGGGCUACCAAUUUAUGUUGCUUAAGUUUGAAUUAUUGGUCAGAAGUUCUGCGUCUCUGAAUUAUAUUUUAAAAGCAGUCU